GUAUAAAACCAACCAAUCAUCAACAACAUUCCUUAAAUCUCAAUGAAAAUAUUUGUGUUACCAUACACAUACAUGCAUACGCACAAAGUUUGUUUACUUUGUUUAUUCUUUCUUGCUCUUCUAAUGUGGAUCAUUCACAAUGCGUAACCAGCUGUCAAAAUGACUUGAGAAAUAAUGUAUUUUUUUUCUUGAGCAAUUACUUGAGAGCUGCGUACCAACCUUUAAACAUGAGAUCGGAAGUUGUUGCUUUACUUAUUACAUAUGACGCGCUCUCUUCGACAGCCGAAAUAAAAUGGCGAAAUCGUUUGAAAUCGCACGACCAACCCAAACACUAUCCAACUAACACAACCAACUUCACAAAAUAUCAAAAAAUUUUGAUUUUCAUCCAACCAGUUGAUUCAACUCAUACAACUGCCCCAUAUACGUAGCAAUCAGUUGUUCAAUUCGUUGAAGUUGAUACAAUAAUUGGUGCAUGUAUGCCUUGCAUUACAGAAUCGCACGGUUAGCACCAAGAAUGAUAGAAUACAAGAUUACGACACUAGUUUACCGUUAGUUUUUUUCGGUUUAGCUCUUGACAAUUCUACAAAAACAAAUACAUUGUGCAACAAUUUCGUGACGUCACACUUGUGCGUUGAGAAGAACAAGCAUAGAAAUGCAUACAAAUUGAAAAAUUUCAGUGGAAUGUUUAGAAUAUUGUUGCGAGAAAAGAUAUAUGUAAGUAGUUUUAGGCACAUCCACAAUAAAUAGAGUAGCAUGUGUGGAAAUUGUUCAAAUGAAGAAAACCAGUGAAAGUGUACUGUUGUAUUUAUUUAAAUUUCUAAGCAUAAAUAUAUUAAUUUUCUAAAAUGAAA